CAUUGUUUCCACAGUAAUGUGGAUGUAACCUGCCUCCUAACAGUGAACCUCUACAAGAUGUCAUCUCAAAAAAAUUGUGUCAUCUGGAGAACCUUAGGCAGAUUGCAUCCACAGUCAACAUCAGCAAUCCUAAACUGUACAUGCUGCAAACUGCAGUGCCUGACAGCAGGGUGAGCUGUUCCUGUUGACUGAAAAUAUUCUACUUUUUAUUUAGAGUGAGGAGUGGUUGAAAGGGACUUAGAGUAACACUUAUUUUACUGUCUUCCAUAAGCUUCGUGUUAAAAAGCAGUACAAAACUGUGGCACAGAACUGCAACAUUUUUACCUGGGUAUACACUAUUAGAGAGGGACAAGCCUUCAAGCCAAGAGCUUUUGUGAAAGUCAUGAAUAAUAUUAAUCCUAUUACCAUGGUUGAAAUACAAGUGGGCAUAUUCUUCUGUUGUUGGCUUUGUGAGAAUGCCUUAUUUUCUACUACCAGCUUGAGCAGCAUGUACUGCCAGCUAAGGGUGACCCUUUCUUUGUGCACACAUUCCACGCUGUAUCUGUAAUGUGUAUGGGCAUUUUUGCAUGACAUUGCAGACUGUAUUUUCGCAAUUCCUUAAUGCAGCUGAAAAGAGGAUGUUUCCAAAGAAUAUGUAGUGUAGACACCUGCAAAAAGAUUUUUCUUAGGUUCUCUGCCUGAAGUAGAAGGUCUACAAACCUGCCAAUGCAUUAAUUCACUAUAUGAGGUGUCUGCCAUUCUUAGAUCAUCUGGUUAUACCUCUGGUCCUCAGAGUCUGGUAACAAAAACAAAACAUGUAAAAUCAAAAUAUGCACAAAAGAUUUUUUUUAAAAAUGUUUUUGUUCUUUUCUCUUCCUUUUUGUCUAAUUCAAUUGGAUUCUCAUAUACCAUUCUGUGAACUAAAGAAAGUAGGAAGACAAAAAUAAAUUGUCUCUUUUUUAAAAAUCCCUCUCCAUUUGAUGACAAGUCAAAUAUGGGGUCAUUUGUUUUGUCUGAACUACAAGGCAGUGUUAGCCUUGAGCUUGUUUCCUCUAGAGAAGAGAGAUUAUGUAACAGCACUAAAUGGUGUUAGUCUGGACAAAUAAAUAAACCUGGCUCACUCCUUGAAGGUAGGGAGGGAGGAAUAUAUAACAAUAGCAGGUAAGGGAGAUUUUUCUAUGAGUGGCUGAAAUUUACUCGUGGAGCCACACACUGCUGGUAUCACUUUAGCUGCCUUCUCCUUUCCUCAUGAAAAAAGUCCUCAGAAAGGCUGGAUGUCUGCAGCCAUUUGGCCAAAAGCUGGGAUUGUCAAUACGUUCUACUUUAAUCAACUCUGCAGUGCUCAGUGACAUGAGUCCUUGUGGUCCUUGCAAGUUUAACAAGUUUUCUGAGGAGACAUGUCUUUAACCACCGGAGUCUUAGGAGCUUUUUCACCACCUUUAUCCUCUCUUUGUGUCUUCCCAGCCCUUCCUAACCCACUGUUCUGUGGUUCCAUGUGUAGCUGCCUCAAUAUGGCUGACGUACAAACCUCUGGAGAACUUUGUACUAAGUCAAGGCCAUGUAAGAUGUAGAAACAAAACCUACUGUUGUUAACCACUUUAAAUAGUAAAAUCCUGUGGUGUUCCACGGCCAUUUACUGGAGACAGUCUCCAUCCAUAAAGAGUUUUAUGACUUCUAAUCCUCUUACUAUAGAAACAAAUUAUUUUACUUUAACAGACCAUUCAGGGAGAAGAAAUAUUUCUGUUUUGAAUUUACUUUCCCAUUCUGCAGUAACCUCAAACACAAAAAUUUACUAUAGUUUCUUUCCUGUGACUUUAAAUUUUCUCUACGGUGUCUGGAAUAUUCUGGUUUUUAGGAUGGAUCCUCACUCCUUCUGACGUGCCAUUUGUGACACUUGUGUAAAAAGUGCAUGAUGUGUGUAAGUUUUUUCUUCCAAGUCUUUUUGUAAGAUUUAGGUUCCUUCUCUUACUGGUUCAAGUGAGCAGUUUUCUUGGGGUGUGUGCAGGGACCUUGUGUGAGCACACCACCCCCUACAAGACAGAUUGCAGCUGGAACAUGCUACAGCAACAAGUACGUUGUUGGGGCUAAACAAGUUACCUCCAAAAUUCACAUCUUGAGUUUCCCAAAAUUACAUAUUUAGGUGAUUGAAUGUUUAUUGACCAUGUGGACUGUCUUUUUAAAGUACCAGCUGUAUUUUAAAACAAGCACAAUCUGAAUCUGAAACAAACCUAAAGAACACUUCUGUUCAUAACAGCCAUGUCAGAAUUUUCUCAUCCCUCUGAGCAUACAUCUCAUUCUGGGAUAUAAAUAAAUGGUAGUCUGAAGGAAAAGCACUUCCUAUUGAUAGCUAAGAGUAUAUGCCAUUGCUUGGGAAAGAAUAUUAUUGCCUUAAUUUUUUGCCCAAAUGGUAUUACACUUCACCUCACAUCCCCUUGUACUUGGUUUAUUUAUCUUUGCAGCAGUUCUCCCUAUCCUGAGGGAUUUGAGUAGCCUAACUUGCCUUUCUUUUCAUUUCUUUUAAUGUCCCUGUUUCAUGUCUGCAUAAGGAGAAAUAAAGCUCUCAAAAACUUUUGCUAGAUUAAGCAUUUAAAAUACUCAAGUAGUAUUUCCAACCCAAGUGUUAUCAGCAGGGGCUAUGAGAGGAGGGAGAUGAGGAGUGAUCUGUCUCCAUGUGCCCUAUUCAUCUGGGGAGAAGGCUACUUGCAAGCAUUUUUUGAAAUGCUAAGUAGAAGACAAAAAUUAUUUGAGAGCUGCAUGGUAAUAAUGUACAGUUUUAUGGGAUAAUUGGUGAAGAAAUACAUGUAUGAGACUGAAAAAAAUUGUUUACAAUGUGAUGGAAUACAACUUAAAGUCCUUUUAGCAAUAUACUGUUACUAUGGGCAGGACAGUGACCUUUACUCCUGGUUUAAAUCAGGGUUAUUUGGGUUGAUGAGCAAAGAAGAAAGAAGAGCCACAGUUGUCUUUCAGAUUUUGGGACUCGAUAAGGCUCAAAUUCUAUUCAUAGUUAUUUUUACAGUAAUCCCUGAAAUCAGUGGUGCAAGAUCAGCUAGCAAGCUUGUGCUCAAUUACAAAUACUUCAAUAUUAAAAUUUCUAAAAGAUAACAAGCAUUCUGCAAUACAUGUUUUACAAUUAUUUUUUCGUCUGCCCCUCUCAGGCUAUUAAAAUUCACUUAAAUUUGAAUUUCUUGAGUAAACACAAAUUUUCAGAAUGUUCAUCUAGUCUCUGUUUUGAUAAUACUGUUCUGUUAUCCUUCUUUUCAGCUAGACACACCAGGCAGAUCUGUGUGAUUAAUUUCUAGCACAUAUAAUACCAAAAUCAAGAACACAUGAGCAGAAAAAUACACUCCUCUGACUCAGCCUAUGAAAAUAUUAGAAUUAAUUGCUCACAAGCAGUCUUUUCAUAAGCAUCCUCAGUAAUGCUAAAUUGUGAAGCUAAAGUUCUGAUUGAGGUUACCAAAAUAAUUCAGAAGGAGGGCUUUUGUGUAAUGGCUGCAUCUUAAACCUGCAGGGAACUAAACAUGGGGAGCUAUUCACUUAUCAGGUAUUUUAAGAUAAGUAUAAAUGUAAAGGACACAGACUCCUAAAAUAAAUUUAGAACAUUUCUUUUGAUUUAUUUCUUAUAACAACCAGAACCUGAUCUUAAAAUGGAGAAAUAUUUCAGGAAAUAGUUCUCCUCCCUUAACUUCUGUUUUUCUAGGUAAAACAUUGUUAUUUGUAGUGUUUAUAUAAUUAUAUUCCAAUGUAAUUCAAGUAUGUAAUGACAUUUCUUAAAUGAAAGCAUUUAAAUAACUCAGGAAAUUGUUCUACUGUUCUGUUUCCUGACUUAAAACCCAUUUUGUCAUGUUAGUUUUAUUGUUCAAUCUGUCUGAGCUCAUCUAGGUAUAGUCUACCCUACACAGAGUAAAAUUAAGUAUUUACUAGCUGGUCAUCCCAUAUAUGAUUAUGUACAAAUAUGCAUGUUAUAUUAAAACCAUUCAUCUAUAUAUCUUCAUACAGUUACUAUUUUCACCCUUUACUCAAUUUUAGUUAAUAUAAAAAGACCGAAAUCUUACAUAACUUUGGAAUGGGACUAGAUUAUAAUAAAAAAGAGUAAUCUUAAAUGAUGGCGUAUCAAAUAAUAAAUAUAUUAAAACCAAAAUUUUUCAGAAAAUAAAACACUUCAAUUUUUCAUGUAGUACCAAUCAAUUGUAAGAAAUAUAGAGUUUUUCCUUGUAUUUGGCAAUACAGCAAAACCGUUUUCUCACGUGUACAGCCCAAAAAGAUGUUUUGUUUUGUUCAAUGAAAUAGAAUAGUUUGGUACAGAGGUGGUAUUUUUCAGCAAAGAAGGGGAAAAUUUACCAGGCUUGCAGGAGAACUGAAUCUUCUUUUACCCUAAAGACCCCUUCUAUGAGACAAGUGAUAGGUUAACCUGUCUCAUUUUUAUCCAGAGCUUUUUUAAUUUAGUGGAUAAGAUUAAAGAGCAAGCUGAAUACCACAGGUGUAGCUUGGGUUUUUAAUCUGCUUGACUCAAGUUAAUCUAGUUCCUGAAUGGGGCUACUAAUAAUGUAGUUCCCAAAGUAAAAUAGGAAACCUAAGUAUUGCAAUGCUUUUAUUCAGCUUUGAAUAAAUCAGAGAGGCAUAAAAUAUACUGAAACAGAUUAAAUUUGAUUCCUGCAGGAAUCAAAGUUUUAGAAGUUGUAGUAGAGAUGGAGAGAAACUCAGUAGUGGAGAUCAAACUCUGCCCAGGGCAGACAGACUCUGCUGGGGUGCAACAGUGCCCAGAGAAAACCCCCUGGGCACUUGGCCUGAAUAAACAGCUUAGGUACAGCCAUGCUUCUGGUUUUAUGCAAAGAGUAGACACCAGUGAGAUUACAGUAUUUAUUUCUGUAUUAUCCUGCACUGGAAAAUAUGUCUCCAUGCUCCAGGACAAAAAUGGAAGAGAGGCAGAAAAAUACCCUGAAACAAUUGCUGGUAUAUAAGAGUGUGGCACUGCAGCAUAAAUUCUUGGGUGUCUUUCUCUUCAAGGCACUUUAAAUUUUAUAUAUUCUAUGCCAAAUUCUUUAGCCCUUAGGUGAGCAGAACUCCUGCUGUCCAUGCUGUGAGGUGUUCUCAGUUAAAGAGCACAAAAGCUUCAUCCUGUGCUACACUGAUAGCUUUGAUAUUUCUGCAAGUUUUCAGGAUAUUUUUCUUGUGAGCUGAGGAGUCACAGCCCCCUGUGUGUGUCACCCAGCUCCUGGCACUGGCACUGUGAAGGCAGCAGAGUGAGCCCUGCCCCACAGGAGGGUCUGCAAGGGGCACAGGCCCCAGCUGCACCCACCUAUGCACUGGGAUUAGAAACACCCUGGUGGGGACCGGACCAAGAGCAGGAAAGCGAUGGGAGAGAAAAAAUGUUGUCUUGGUACCAACAAUUGCAGGAUGUAGUUCAGAGGAAUGAUGAUUUUUGUAGAAGCCUUUUCUUGCCAGAAAAGAACACUAGAAUGUUUAGUUCCUCCCUAGCCCUUGUUUAGUCUGGGAAGCCGCAGGGCUACAAGCAUUGCCUGGAAAGAGCUCUGGGCAUCCCUGAAUUGGUGGGAAGGGGAGCCAGUGCAGGCACCAGGGACCGUGGUGGAAGGGAAGAUGCAUCAGCCCUGGCCAGAGGCUCCACCUGAAGAACUUCUACCUGUCCCCAGAGCCAAGGGUGUGAAGUGCUGAUUCUGUGAGUGCUUCCAAGAUUUUCCUAUAUCUUGAACUUCAGAAAGAAAUGUGAAAUUAAUCUGUUUUUCUUCACUGGGACAUGCUACAUUUCCUAGAUGUUGGCUCUAAAUUUGGCAAAAUAAAUCCACUGGAUAUGACUGUAACUGUGAUGGCUCAACUAAUUUUAUAUACCAUCAUUAUCCUAUUCAGGGAGACUGAGCAACUUGAUUUUUUUGUAUUUAGCUCAGCAGUCAAUAUGUACUUGCAUGUUUUAGUUAAUGCUCAUUCACAUGUAUCUAAAUAUACAGUGCUUUUUAAAAAUUUUUUUAGUCUUCAAGUUAAGAAACUAACACAUUCUUUUAACUAUGUUAUUUAGAGAACUUCUUGAGAAAAUUUCAUGAUCUGAACAACUGCUACAUCUUGUUGUAGCACUGAAGGGCUAAGGCACUAACAGAAACUCAAGUGCUUCUCUAAUUUAUAGGAGAUGAUAACUGUAAGUAUUUGAAAAUAAAAGUAAAUAAGCAUCUUUAAAUAAAAUACAUCUGUAAGUAUCUCACAGGAUCCUAGCUUCCCUGGGUACUUGCUUUGUGGUGAACAGUAAUUACUUCCAAUUAAAAAGGCAAUGUAUUUGUUAAUCACUUAAUGUGCUGUGGUUAAACCAUCCUGCUUAUUUAUGUUUAGAUAAUUUUAAUCAAAUAAAUAAAACAUUCUGGUCUUCUGCUUAAUAGUGUACAAAUGCAAGAUGUGGAGUAGUUUUUAGUUUUCCCUAACCUAAUCCUCUUUUUAAUAUUUAAGAAAUAUAAAUUCUACCGCUAUGAUGUACUUGGCAGGUAUUUGUUACAACAAUCUUUGGAACUUAUUUCAUAGAGAUGUAUUCUCAUAGACUGCAAGGAAGGAAGGAAGAAGUUAAGGUGAAGAGAUUUCAGGUUAUUCUUCAUAUAGAAGAAAAUGCAUACCCCCACCAGUGGAAUGAUGUUACCUUUUCAAGGCUAACCCACCCCUCCUUAACUGGUACAGAAGAUGUUUGUAAAUGUUAAUUUUUUUUUGUGAUCUCUGUUCCUGUGAGGAAUUCAAGCUUAAAAAGGGUGAACAAUAUUGAAAAGUGUAAUAUUUUCCAAGUCAGAUACCAUGUAUCUAAGAAAUAGCAUAUAUGAUGGGUCUGCAGGGCUUCUCUCAGAGCAGUUGGGGCCAAGAGGGCUCAGAUGGCUCCCCGUGUGCUCAGUUAUGAUGUGUUGUUUGUGUUAAUGAUUCCUAACUUAAAUCUUGGCAAAAAAGCCAUAGAAAUCCCACUUCAGUAUCUCAGUAGGUGCUUCUUAGUGAAGAAAAUCUGUCCAAGAAACAAUGGAUACUACUAGAGUUACUCAUGUUUGAAAAAUAUUUCAGCCUGAUUGUUAGAAAGCCCUAAGGGUAAAAACAGUGACUCCAUCGUAGCCGCUGUGGGGAGGGAAUGAAGGAUGUUUUGUGUUGUCUCCUUAUUGGAAGGUAAUUUUUGCAGGGUUCAAAAUCCUCUGUUUAGUGGGGGAGUCAAGGAGAACCUCAUCAGUUUCUGAUAAGUGUUCUCUGCCUGUCUUGCGCAGGGUGGGUGGUUAGACAAUACCUGACUGUCUGACAGUAGCAGAUGUGAUGCAAGCUUCAGAGUGCAAGGAAGCAGAGUUCAAAUUCCUUUUGUGUCUAUAAAUACAGAGCUGCUGUGAAAGUCUGUGAAUAGAGCUUGGGUCUAAUGCCUGAGGACCCUUGAGGCAAGAGAUGUGAUGGAAAAGGGAAGGCAUAUAAAACGCACACCUGGGAACAACUGUUUUCACUCAUCUAUUCUAAGAACGGUUUCAAAUCUUUAGUUAAUGUAAUCCAUCUGCAAAAGCCACAAUAUUUGAAACAAACAGGUGAGAUGUAGCUGUUGGUAGGGUAGCUAUGCUCUGCUAAUGACGUGUUAAACCUGGCUGCAGUUAGUUAACUACUUUACAAAACUUUUCAACUUACUCAACACAUCACUCAGCUCACCCAGCUGUGCAGGAGCUGUCAUUAAAAACCUUCAAGCUGUAUUCAAAAUCCAUCAGUGCUUUAGAGGAUCACCUUUCCAAGAUAAGGAAUCUCUACAAAGGUUAUUGUUCUGACCAAAGAGGCUUAUAGAUAGUUAUAUACUGCCUACAUCACAUUUUUCCUUUUUGCUCUGAAUAUCUUGGACGCAAAAUGUGAAAUGAAACUAAUGCAGUUAAGAAUUCUCAAGUGAGAUGAGGUGCAGUGGUUAGAGCUCAGUCAGAGAUGGAUGGUCAACCUAAACUGCAUUCACCUGAAUCUGAUUUCUCAUCUGCUUUGUAUCCCAUCCCAUCACCCAUCUUCUCUUUUAUCCUCCAUCCAUUUAGUGUCUUACUAAACUGCUUGGUGUUUUCUUGCCAGCUUUAAGAGCCAAUUGUUGCAGGCAUGUGCUAAAGUCUUUGUAAAAAGACUUUUAAUGUUGGAUGUUUCCUUUGGUCAGAGAACUACAAAGCUUCAACAAGCUGUGACUGUAUUCUGCACAGAUGAAUCCAAUUUUCAGAAUAGUGAUAUUUCUGCAAGAAAAUCUAAUACAAGAGAGCAACAUCAAACUGACAGGAAGAUUGAAUGGGAAAUUUGACAUUUUACUCUUCUGAAAUGGAAAGAAGGGAAAAGAAGCUGCAAAGGCAAACCUUGAAUCUCAAAAUGACCAGGGAAGUUUGAAGUUGCUUCUAAGAGAGGAAGAUAUGGGACUGGAAUCCUCAGCAGUCAGGAAAAAUUCCUCCCCACAGACACCUUGGAGAAGGAGCUGCUGCUUUGGGAACUGCAGAAGGGAUGAGUAACAUGGCACUGCUGUCUUGGGGUCUGCUCGUGUUUCACGUGCAGGACUGGAACAUGCCCUGUUAAACUUCGGUCUAAAGGUGUGUUUAAUAUCCACGGCUCCCAGAGCCCAGCGCUCUUGAAGGAUGGGACUGCUGUGCUGAUGGUAAUGUGGUCAUCCUUCCUCUCAGGCUGAUGGGAAUAGGCUUUGUCUACUGUGCUUGAAGAAGAAAAGAAGAUUUUUCUGCUCCCAGGAGGCAAAGGCAGUUUUCAUUGGCAUUUUAGUGAAAUAUUAAAGGCAAAGCAGAUUUGGAGGGACACACUGCAAAGGCUGUCACAGUGAUCAGAGAGGCACUGGAGUGAGGAAAGGGACAGCUAAAUGUGUAGGUGGAGAGUCAGUCCAUUUGUGCAAAGUAUGGGAUUCCUUCUACUGAAAAUCUUGAAACUCUGAAAAUAUUACACAGGCUUUGCAGUAGAAACUGUUAUAUGCCAGAAAUUCAGCUGAACGCUUUUUGGAUUUCUCUGUAUGAACACCAUGGAGAUGAUGUCUGUCACAAUUGUACAGCUGCUGCAAGUGAUGGUGUGAUAAUUUCCAAAGUUGUUUGUGUCUGAAAAUUAAGUGAAGUUGUGACAUGCCUGGAACAGUCUUACUUCAGUGACCUAAACUACUCAGCUCUGAAGUAUUUUCCACUGCCCUGAGUCCGUUUCUUUGUUUGCUGCCCAUCGUGCACAGCCCAUGUGAUGAAGAAAGCAUCAUGUCUGGGAGAGCACUGAAGAGUAUAAGACUUUUUACUGUUCUGUCAGGUCUCUGCAACAUGGUUCUUACGCUGAGAUAGAUUUAUCCUUCCAGAUAUCCCCAGACCUUGAGUGCUUGGUGGACUACAUUGUGAAAGCCAUUGCCCUGAGGUACCAGUCAUGCUGAACUGAGCUGAAAGCUACUAAAAGUUGAAGAUUCUGGCUAUGAGAAAAUAUCUAUUCUGUUGAGGAGUCUUAAAAAUUUACCUGUGGGACAAGAAAACCAGAUCGAAAGAGGUAGAUGGAACAGUAAGAAGAAAAUGUGAAAGAGCAUCCUAGAACAAGAAAAUCUGAGUGUGUGAUAUUACAAGAGAAAGUAAAGAGAUGGAAAGAAUAAAACUGCUGAAUGUCAAACUCACAAGGACCUCCUGAAAUUCAGGACAAAAUCCAAAUUCAGCUCUAGAGUUAUGGGAGAUUCAUUUUACUGUUGAGGAUAAGCCCUAGCAGGUGCGGCUUGAUUGGAAAGUGCAUGGAGACAGACAGCAGCCUACGGAGCCAAAUGGGAAUUUCUCUGCUCUGAGGAGUCCCUGACAUGCUGAUUCUUGUGCUGCAUCGUUGGCAAGACUGUGAAGAAGAUACAUGACCAAUGAGACACCAAGACGGACAUGGUGUGCAUUGAGGAGAACGGAGAAAAUUAAGUUUGCAGGAAAUGGAGCAAAGCAAAGCAAACAGAAAAGAGUGGCAGGGUGUUAAUUGCAACCUGAUAAUUAAAGUGAAGCAUAGUCAAGGAACAGAUAUCCUCCCAGCUUUCAGCAUGAAAAUGAUGAUGGGCAGCAUCUCUGGAUGCUCAGCGCUGUUUUGAUAACCCUGGGAAACUGCUGCAGGGAGAGCCUCAGUGACACACAAGUCUGUGUCUGAGAACACACAUUACCAGGUCUUACUUUCAUCGCAGGAUAUUUAAAAAUCUGGCAUUGGCUUUAGCAGAGGAAGGAAUGAGCUCUUUUCAACUCAGUUGGAACACUUGCAAGUUUAAUAGUUGAUAUAGCUUCCAGGACCUAAGGCCUUACUUUACAGCAGGCAAAACCAGAUCUCAUUCCAGGCUAGCCCUGUUUUGUACCUGCCGCAGAACUGGCAUUGUAGGUGAUGCAUGGUUUGAAGAUGGGACUGAGUUCUGUUCAUCUAUCAGGCUUAAUCCUCAACCUUAUGUGUACAGCAUGAUAAUAUUUCAUGCCAUGUGACCUCCUCCAUUGGAAUCCUGCUGAGAUUGUGGCAAAGUUGCUGAUUGAACACUUGCGUACCACCUCUCCUACCACUACAUUAGGAACCACCUCACAUUUCGUUCUUGCACAUGUGUAAUGAUUUAAAAGAAUUUGAAAGAAUGUACCAUGGAUGGAAACAAGACAGUUUCCUGAAGAAAUGUUUUAUUCAACAAAACUUGCCCAACUUGAGCAUUUGCCAGGUGUUUCAUCUCUUUGGUGACAACAGUGGGUCCUAUACAGGACAUUUCAGUGAGCUGCACGUGCUGGGAAGUGCUGGUCAGGUGAAGACCAUCCUGUCAGGUCUGGAAUGGGUACUGCCACACUUGGAUGUUCAGUUCCUCCAUCUCAGAUGUACCUGUACCCAUGAGGGAAAAAUCUCUCCCUUCCUGAUCCCUAUCACAGAAGCAGGUUUGGCUGUGAGACCAUUUGCAAACAUCCAGAAGCUCAGUCUUUAAAGAGGCAGCCCAAAACCUAAGGAAAUAAUCAGUGUAAUCGGAUGUAAUCAUUGCUAUGGCAACAAUUUCUUCCAGAUCAGUGGAUAAAAUGUUCGUUUCAAACUUGUGUCUAUAACUUGGAGAGCGCUAAACUGGAGCUGAAUGUGUGACUUGUGGCUGGAAUGAAAGCGAAAGGUUGCUACAACACUCAGUGUGCGUGCACACACUGUUGCUAAGAGCUCUGCUAUGUGUCACUUGCCAGUAUUCUACAAGGAAGAAAUUAAGGUGUUCAUCAUAAAAUAUAUGUUUGGGACUUCUGGAGAACUUGACCUGUCUGGGUGACUCUUGCAUGACUUCAGCUAUCACAUUUGAUAAGAGCUGGGACUGAACACCAGAACAGCAAAAAGAAGACUUCUUUACAUCCAGCCACCAGCUCAGUUGGUAGCAGAGAUGUGUUUCACUUGAUCAUUGAAGCCAGCAGUGACUGAGGUCCAUUUCUGAACAGCUCUGUCCUGCAUAAAAACCAUUUCUGUUUUUCAAAAGGUUUCAAUACUAGACAUGAAAAAAAUGGACCCUUUUUUCAAAUUUAGACUGCUUUUCUUCACAAAUCUUAUGAGAGAAGCUGGUCUGCUGAGGGAAAGCAAAGUGAACAAAGAGUCUUUCCUCUGCUCUUUGCCUCCUCGACAUAAAUGGCAGUGCUUUACUUCAGAGAUGUUCAUAAUUACAGGCUGGGAGCAGGAGCUCAGCAGGACUGGAGUGGCUAAGCUGUCCUCCUUGUGAGCUGCACUUGAUCUUUGGGUGUGCACCUGUGGAACUGUUUCCAGACUGCUCUGGAAUCUCUCCACUUAUGGAUCACCCGAUAACAUUUUGCGUCUUGAUCAGCUGUGUGCAGAGGUUGGUAGGCGUCCACACCUUCUAAAAAAAGGUGUGGCAUUCCUAAACCCAUUGGUCAUGUGAGUCCAUUGGCUCUACCAAACAGCAACAGAGACACGUGCUCAAAGGCUGUGGCCUGGGAUCAAACAUCAGGGUCUGAGGCCAGGUCUCCACAAAUAACCGGCAGGGAUUAUCUUCCUCUAGAGCACUGGAGAACUUCAUUGAACACUGAAGCGCAAAGUCUUGGAUUCUGUGUAGUCUUGGGAGAGAUUGUGCUCCAAGGCCCAAUGGAGACAGGUGUUGUCUGGACAGCUCCCAGGAAGCAAGGCUUCAGCUCUCAUAGCGGUGGCUCAAGAAGGGAAAUGAUGUAAACAAAGAAUGCCCCCACUUCCAACUCCAUUUAGCUUUUGUUUCUGAGCUGAUGAUAUAAGGUCUGGAAAAUCCUACUGGUCAGUGUGGGUCCACUGUCCUGUUAGCAUCCCCUCCCAUGAUCUUGCCAGCUCCCAGCCUGCUGCCUCAGGCUGGGAUGUAAAGAGACAGUGCUGGUGCUGUGCCAGCCCUGCUCAGCAGCAGCCAAAACCCUGGGAUGUUACCAACACCUUUCCAGCUGCUGGUGCAAAGCACAGCACGGGGAGGGCUGCUUGGGGAAAAUGAACUCCAGCUCAGCCAGACCCAACAGAACUGCUCACUGGGAUUCACAGUGUAGGAAGAAGAUGAAGACCAUUAAGAGAAGGAAAGCUGAAUUGCUCUAAAUGACUGAAACAGGCUUUAUUCUGCUAUGGCUGGUGUGGAAGAUGCUGGAUCAGAAUGGUUGUGUGUCAGCUGGAGCAACAUCCAUGGGUAAAUCACUGCCAGGCAGAGCCAGGUGAUGACUGCAGACCAGGCAAGAGGUGAGCAAGCUCCAGGCUGAGGAGAUGAGCACUUGGCAUUGGCAAGGGCAGUGUUUGCUUGGCCACAGGCUGGUGGUUUUCAGAAAUUCAAAGACAGGGUAGUCUGACCUUGGAAAAGGGCUGUAAUCCAGUGUCUUUAUAGAGAUGGGGAAGCAGCUUUGACAAGCAGAAGUUAAACCCUAGAUGGUCCAGGACUAUCUAGCCAUUGCUUAAUCUUCUUAAUAUGAUCAGCUGAGUAACUCAUUUUCAGCCUUCUCCAAGAUGCCAGGCAGCUCUGUCUUCACAGCAGCAGAUUCUGAGGAGAGAAGCAAUCCUGUUUGCUUGGCAUGGCAGCAGUGGCCCACUAACUCUGAAUAUCUCUGAGGGAAGAGAAGGGAGUAGUGGACUGUAUGGAGGAGGGUAAGCAGGAGGAGAAGCAACCAGUUUGCAAUAUUCCAGUAAUGGAAAUUGGCUGGAAAACCAGGAAAUCCAACCACCUAGCCAUUCCUUCAGCCUGGAGGAUUUUUCCCCUCUCUCUACUUGCUUUUGCUGCCAACUGCUCCAUCUCAUAUCUGGGAAAGAACAGCAAUGUGGGAAGAAAGAUCCUUCAAGCUCUGGUCUGUCCCAAGUGAGGAGAUGAACAACAAAUGGAUUCUAAAGGCAUGAAGUGUUCAGCAUUGCUUUCAGCGUGGAAUUAGUCCCACUGAGUCUACUCGCAGGAAUGUGGAACACUCUUGCAGCUGGCAAGACAAAAUCUCAUUAAAGGCAGGGGAUGGCUGAGACCUGAGCAUAUGGAUCCCCUGUUUGAAUAAAAGAUUCCAUGGAAAGAAAAUCAUUCCCUCUACAUCAGGGACUUCUCAGAAUGGCAGAUCAAAAGACACCUGUGUUUUUCAGGAUUACAGAAGAAUCUGGCUGGCUGAACUAAAGCAGUGUCCCAAAAUGUCACCUGGCCAGGACUUGCACUGUCCCCCAACUUUCCAUGGUACUCUGAACCCUUUCAAAUGAGGACUAUAUCUUUUCCACUGUCUUCUGACUUCCCAGGUGAAGAAAACAAGCAUGGAUUCAAGAUGACUCCUGUAAUACAAGGAAACAUUCUCUAGAUGUAACUAUCUUCACCUAAUCAUGAUGCCGGUCAUUUUCAAGGACAGAAUAUUGGACAGGAUAUGUGGGGCUUGUGCUCUGGCACAACAGAUCCAGUGCUCAAAUUGAAGGUGACUUACAGCACAGCUGCCAUCCUUUGGUCCUGGAGCCUGUUACUUGUGUCAUCUUGUGAUAAGAUCUCCACUUCUUCAGUGAACCAUCUGCAUCCUGACCUGUAGCAGGCUUGGCUUGUUAUGGUCGAUCAUGUGAGGCUGUUUUUAAGGAGCAGCACCCCAUACACUUGGUACCAAAAGCUGCACAUUCUCAGCCAUUGCACAUACAUCCUUCACCCCUACUUCAUUCAAGCUGAGAAUUUGAGUUGGAAGGUUUUUUGUUGAAAUCCAGUUACAUUGCUCCACUGGAGUCCGAGCCAAUACGAAUAUGAACAAUAUGAAACAAGAACCUGUUCUACAGUACUUCUUAAAAGGAAAAUUAAAACAAACCCUGAAGAUAUCACUAACUUGUGAUUAUCUUCUUUGAAAAUGUCCAUCUCACACUAUAGUUGCAAACAAGUGGUGUGCAUUGUAUCUGCUAUGGAUGCUCAUAACACUAUUGUUUCAGUUGAGUAAGCUUGAUAUUUUAAACAGUAUUGCCAUCUUGUGGUACAAGAAGUUUUAUCAUUUUGUUUCUUUUUGCACCUUUUUGAUCUUUAUUUAUUGGCAAGAAGUCCUGAAAUGCUGUAGCACAUGCAACAGGAUAAGUAUUGUCCCAGGUAUAAAAGAUUCACAGGAAGAAAAAAAAACCCUAUAUCUGAAUGUCAUAAUAUAUCUGAAUGUUUAUCAGUCCUUUAACAAAACAAUUUUAUCUUCUUCCACUGAAAGGAAGGGAGUAGGGUCAUUGUGAGACACAUAAUUAUAAAGUCUGCCUUAUUCAUUAUUGCCCAUUUUUGAAAUUAGUUUGCUCCAGACACAUGUCCUUCAGCAAGGGUCUGGACUCUUCAUGUGUGCUGAGUAGCACCUGGUGUUACAUCCUCCGAGUGAAAGAAAGAGGCUGUGACUUCUGCUGCAGAUUAAGGGAUAAGCAAGUUAUUUUUCUCUCUCAAGAAAAAUGUCAAGCUACUAAUUUUCUGUUCAAAUAACAAGUCUUGUAUCAGAAUUUCUUAUAGUCUUGUUAUCAAUCUUCCGGUGACCCCAAGAAAGUAUUCCCCAGCACACACUCUGAGCCAGGGCUUUUCAUAUGUGAAGCAAGGCCCUGAAAGUGAGCAAUGGUUUCCCUCGGUCUUUGCU